rnacentral:sRNA from 1 species
AACAAUGGCAGCACAAAACGGACCCGUCGCAGACAGGAUUGCACUGCGCC